UUCAAUAUCUAUUAAAAACAAGUCCUCAUUAAAUCCGGGUUCACCCCUUCUAUACACGGGGCAUUCCUUUAGAAUAGGCGCAGCUACUUCCGCUGCUAAUCAAGGUGUCUCAUCCUCAUCCCUGCAACAACUCGGACGGUGGUCCGCCUCCGCUUUCUCAUCCUACAUUCACCCUGACCUCAAUGCCGUGCUGGCUAUCCAAAGGUCUCUCCAACCUGAAAUUGAUUUCCACUGCAUCCCACAAGCUGUCUUCCAGGUGUCAACGCGCAACCCUCCUCCACCCCUUCGCCUCCUGCUUUCAACUCAGGACCAAGCUUAACCUUAAGCUUAACCUUCUCCCUUCCAACCGGACCUAACCACUUG